UCUCUCUCUCUCUCUCUCUCUCUCUCUCUCUCUCUCUCUCUCUCUCUCUCUCUCUCUCUCUCUCUCUCUCUCUCUCUCUCUCUCUCUCUCUCUCGCUCUCUCCUACUAAUUUCUCUCUCUCUCUCUCUCUCUCUCUCUCUCUCUCUCUCUCUCUCUCUCUCUCUCUCUCUCUCUCUCUCUCUCUCUCUCUCUCUGUUUAUUCUCCAUCCUCCCAUUUGACUAACAAUCCCUCUCUAGCUCUUUCUCUUUUUUUCCGCCGGCCGGCUCUUCGCUGCAGUGUGUCUGAAGUGUCCCGCUGGAAGGUGAUAUCAUGCGAGUCAGUAGCUCAACUCCAACUUCUUUAUUUUUCUAAAUACGAAGCCGACACUUUCACACCUGAUCAAUAACAAACGGGGCUGCCGUGCGCCGGGGAAGGCUCGCCGGUUACCGGAAGCGGGAGAAUAAUGCACUUGACGCUACUUUGCGCUUUCUUUCGUCAAUGCCAAUUUCUUGUUCGAGCGCAAAAUCAUUGUGCCUCAAAAACAACUGAGUGAUUUUGUGAUUUUCUUGCGCACACUUUGUAAGAGGGGAGAGCGAGGGGAGCGAGAGGCGACGAGUUUUGAAUGGAUUACCAUUGGCACGUCGACUUUACGCACGGCGCGUUUGGUAUUGGGUGAGUGGCGGCACCCCGGAUUGGUCGACUGAAGAAAUAAUGACCUUAUUAUGGGAAGCAGUUUCAAAUCCGCGGCGUUAGACAAAGACUGCUGGCUCCGUGCUGAGACACACCUCCACCCCCCCCCCCCCUCUCAGCCAGCUGUGUAUGUGAUGAUUGAUUUGCAAGAAGCAGCCAUUGAUUUUGCACUAUAAAUACUAUAAAUACAAGCAUAACUACACUUAUGUUUAUACGUAAAUAUAUGAGUACCAUACAUAUUUAUAUAUAAAAAGCUACACACACAGAGACGGUCUCACACUGCAGGAAUAAAAGGGGAUAUUAGUUAUUUUUUUAUUUGACAAGACAAAUCACCUGUAAUAGUUUUUCGCAAACGAGUCAAUAGGCACAGUGGCUAACCGAAUAUCGAUUUGAUAUAAUAUAAUAUAGAUCUAAUGAAGGCUGAGUUAUGUGAAUAUGAGCUCUGCCAGCUCCUCCCAGUAGAUUCUUCUGUCUGCAGCCACAUUAUCACCGGGUUCAGCGCUUUGUUUGCAUUGCAUUACGAGGUAUAACUGCUACGGUGGAUCAGCUGCCACGGCUGAUUCUGCUGCCGUAUAUAAGAAUAAACACACGCGUGUAUAUCGCCCAAUUAU